rnacentral:miRNA from 1 species
GAUGGCCAAAAAUUUCAUUCGGGUUUUUCCGUUACAGCUUAUGGAAAAACCUGAAUGAACUUUUUGGCCAAC